AUAGCCCACGCAACAGUGUCUUGGCGAAAAUUAUCCGGCACAGAACGUACUUGUCUGCGAUCUCGAGAAGUCACUCGCGGUUGUCAGUUACCAACGAUGGUGUCGGUAACAAACGAGUCCAUGUACAGAACCAGCCCGGCCGUCUACAGCCGUUAGCGGUUUCAAAGGCUUUGACCCGUACGCCUACGAUUCCGUGAACACGCCGUGUAACUCGGAAUUUUCGACGAUUUUCAAAGGGGAUCUGGCAGGAUCUUUAUAUGGGAUUAUCUUCUGAUGGAGUGAAAUUAUACGGUGGCCGAGCCGUACGCGAGCUUGCCACAAAAACACCCUAAUCGCCCCGACGGGGAAAGAAGAGGAAGCCAGCGAGGAGAGAGAUCCGCGGGAGCAAAUGGGGUACAUGGAAACGACCGGGAAUGUGUCGAAAGUGAAUGUCGUUUCACCGGGAAAUCUUGCGCGCGUCUAUUUCCGUCGUGGUUGCCUCGCCACCCCCGUCCAAACACCACCACCGGGGCCCCCCACGACACGUUGCAGCAUAAGGACCCUCAUGCUGCAAACAGGAGACAAAUCUUCAAGAGCUGGUAAGAACGACGAUCUCUCUCGCUGUCACAUCCAGUGAAAUAAAACCUCCAAUCUUCUUUUGCAUCAUGCGUAUCCCACUCGAUCCACCGAAUCCAUUAGCAGAAAAGUUCACAAUUCCGUCUGGGUAAAUAACGUUCUAUUUUUAAGAGGCGUUCGAUGUGUUAAAGACUGAUAAUCCAACGAAAGUGACUAAACAGAGGAUCAGCAGAGAUAAAUAUACAUGGCCUAGUUUGUUAAUGAACGUCCUUCGUCCUGCGUCUGACUAAUCAAUAGAUAGCAUCUCCAAUUACAAAUGAAACAUCCCCGCGGAUUAAUCUACCCCGUCGUCGCGUUGCUUCG